rnacentral:rRNA from 1 species
UACGUAGGGGGCAAGCGUUGUCCGGAUUUAUUGGGCGUAAAGAGCUCGUAGGUGGUUCGGUAAGUCGGAUGUGAAAUCUCCAGGCUCAACCUGGAGGGGUCAUUCGAUACUGCCGUGACUAGAGGUCGGUAGGGGAGUGUGGAAUUCCUGGUGGAGCGGUGAAAUGCGCAGAUAUCAGGAGGAACACCCGUAGCGAAGGCGGCACUCUGGGCCGAUACUGACACUGAGAAGCGAAAGCAUGGGGAGCGAACAGG